rnacentral:rRNA from 1 species
GGGCCCGCACAAGCGGUGGAGUAUGUGGUUUAAUUCGAUGCAACGCGAAGAACCUUACCAGGGCUUGACAUCCUGCGAACCUCUGGGAAACCGGAGGGUGCCUUCGGGAACGCAGUGACAGGUGGUGCAUGGCUGUCGUCAGCUCGUGUCGUGAGAUGUUGGGUUAAGUCCCGCAACGAGCGCAACCCACGUCUUUAGUUGCCAGCAUUUAGUUGGGCACUCUAGAGAGACCGCCGGUGACAAACCGGAGGAAGUGUGGAUGACGUCAAGUCAUCAUGCCCCUUACGUCCUGGGGCUACACACGUACUACAAUGCUACGGACAAAGGGCAGCAAGUUCGCGAGGACAAGCAAAUCCCAUAAACCGUGGCUC